rnacentral:rRNA from 1 species
GAUGAACGCUAGCGGCAGGCCUAAUACAUGCAAGUCGAACGGUGUCUUCGGACAUAGUGGCGCACGGGUGCGUAACACGUAUGCAACCUACCUUACAUUGGGGGAUAGCCUUUCGAAAGGGAGAUUAAUACCGCAUAAGACAGUAGCUGGGCAUCCAGCAGCUGUUAAAGAUUUAUCGAUGUAAGCUGGGCAUGCGUCCAAUUAGCUAGUUGGUGAGGUAACGGCUCACCAAGGCAAUGAUUGGUAGGGGAACUGAGAGGUCAAUCCCCCACACCGACACUGAGAUACGGGCCAGACUCCUACGGGAGGCAGCAGUAGGGAAUAUUGGGCAAUGGACGCAAGUCUGACCCAGCCAUGCCGCCUGCAGGAUGAAGGCGUUAUGCGUUGUAAACUGCUUUUAUACAGGAAGAAACGACUCUUGCGAGAGGCAUUGACGGUACUGUAUGAAUAAGUACCGGCUAACUCCGUGCCAGCCGCCGCCGUAAAAC